UACGGAGGAUCCAAGCGUUAUCCGGAUUUAUUGGGUUUAAAGGGUGCGUAGGCGGACCUUUAAGUCAGCGGUGAAAUCUCCCGGCUCAACCGGGGAAUUGCCGUUGAAACUAUUGGUCUUGAGUGUAGAUGAGGUGGGCGGAAUUCGUAGUGUAGCGGUGAAAUGCUUAGAUAUUACGAAGAACUCCAAUUGCGUAGGCAGCUCACUAGGCUACAACUGACGCUGAGGCACGAAGGUGCGGGGAUCAAACAGG
rnacentral:rRNA from 1 species